CUUCUGAGAAUGUCUUGCCACUUGGUGUCUGUGGAAACAUGAAGUCUCUCUAACUUAUUUUCCCUGUUCUAAUUAUUGUUCAAGAACUGACAGCUGAGUGCAAAGCAUGGGCCCAUUCCAGCCAGGCAGGAUGCUCUCAGCAGCCACAAAGCCCAAAUUGAUGGCAAUGUGAAUUCAAAGUUCUC
rnacentral:lncRNA from 1 species